ACGGCUGCCAUCCUCCUGGUGCUCCGGUCCCCGUCGACUUUGGAGAAACUGAUUGGAAAACUCCAGAAAGAUGUCCUACCAACAGCAGCAGUGCAAGCAGCCCUGCCAGCCACCUCCUGUGUGCCCGCCACCUAAGUGCCCGGAGCCCUGCCCGCCACCUAAGUGCCCAGAGCCCUGCCCGCCACCUAAGUGCCCGGAGCCCCGCCCGCCUCAGCAGUGCCAGCAGAAGUGCCCCCCGGUGCCGCCUCCCCAGCCCUGCCAGCAGAAGUGCCCACCCAAGAGCAAGUAGCGGCUUCAGCACCCACGGGAUCAGGAACGGGGAAGGCCGACUGGCCCUUCCGGGCCCUUCCGCAGCUCCACCUUCGUCUUCCCUUCAAGGCCCAUCAUGGAUGCAGAAGCAGCUUCUCCGCCCUUCCCCUGGAAUGUGCCCGUGGUGAUGCCUGGCAGACGGAGGCUUCCCUCCGGGGCCUGCUGCCCUGCGCCCUCCGGGAGGCCGCUGAGAGGGCGUCGCAGCGCUGCAGGAGGACGAGCGGCGGCUCCCUCCCGGGCGCCGGCAGAGGGUCCCGGCUGCCUCCUGUGUCCCUGCGUCCCCUGGGCAGGGUUCCUACCACCUGGGCAGUUGUUCCUUAUCCUCCACUUCCUGAAUAAAGCACAGCUCUUUUCUGUGAUGGAA